rnacentral:rRNA from 1 species
AGAGUUUGAUCCUGGCUCAGGAUGAACGCUGGCGGCGUGCUUAACACAUGCAAGUCGAACGAAGCGUGUAAAACAAUCCUUCGGGUGCGUUUUAUAUGACUGAGUGGCGGACGGGUGAGUAACGCGUGGGGAACCUGCCGUAUGCAGGGGGACAACAGUCAGAAAUGACUGCUAAUACCGCAUAAGCGCACGGUCCUGCAUGGGACAGUGUGAAAAACUCCGGUGGUGCAAGAUGGACCCGCGUCUGAUUAGCUGGUUGGCGGGGUAAAGGCCCACCAAGGCGACGAUCAGUAGCCGGCCUGAGAGGGUGGACGGCCACAUUGGGACUGAGACACGGCCCAAACUCCUACGGGAGGCAGCAGUGGGGGAUAUUGGACAAUGGGGGGAACCCUGAUCCAGCGACGCCGCGUGAGUGAAGAAGUAUUUCGGUAUGUAAAGCUCUGUCAGCAGGGAAGAAAGCAAUGACGGUACCUGACCAAGAAGCCCCGGCUAACUACGUGCCAGCAGCCGCGGUAAUACGUAUGGAGCAAGCGUUAUCCGGAUUUACUGGGUGUAAAGGGAGCGCAGACGGCAGGGCAAGUCUGAUGUGAAAGUCCGGGGCUCAACCCCGGGACUGCAUUGGAAACUGUAUGGCUGGAGUGCAGGAGAGGUAAGCGGAAUUCCUAGUGUAGCGGUGAAAUGCGUAGAUAUUAGGAGGAACACCAGUGGCGAAGGCGGCUUACUGGACUGUAACUGACGUUGAGGCUCGAAAGCGUGGGGAGCAAACAGGAUUAGAUACCCUGGUAGUCCACGCCGUAAACGAUGAUUAUUAGCGCUGGGCGUGUAUGGACCCACCGGUGCCGCAGCAAACGCAGAUAGUAAUCCACGUGGGGAGUAAGUUCGCAAGAAUAAAACUCAAAGGAAAUGACGGGGAACCGCACAAGCGGUGGAGCAUGUGUUUUAAUCCGAAGCAACGUGAAGAACCUUACCAAGUCUUGACAUCUGGAUGACAGGGAUGUAUCGGUCCCGCUUACUUCGGUACAUCCUAGACAGCUGGUGCAUGGUUGUCGUCAGCUCGUGUCGUGUAGAUGUUGGGUUAAGUCCCUGCAUCGAGCGCAACCCUUAUCCUUAGUAGCCAGCGGGCAAGAUCGUGCACUUUAGGGAGACUGCCGGGGAUAACCCGGAGGAAGGUGGGGAGGACGUCAAAUCAUCAUGCCCCUUAUGAUUUGGUCUCCACACGUGCUACAAUGGUGUAAACAGAGGGAAGUGAACCCGCGAGGGGGAGCAAAUCCCAAAAAUAAUGUCCCAGUUCGGAUUGUAGCCUGCAACCCGGCAAUAAGAAGCUGGAAUCGCUAGUAAUUGUGGAUCAGAA